UGAGUGUUGACACACCGAAAUUCAGGAGGCUUCUGAACCCCGCAAAACAGGGGUCUGACAGAUCUGUCAGGGCACACCUGCUUUAGGGGACCGGCCUUCCUACCAGGAAUGCUCAUUUUUAAAAGCUUUCAAGAGCCAUCUUCCGUGUACACCUAACGUUUAAAGAAGGGGUUUAUUUUCAGGGCUGAUUUGUCCGGGCGCCUUGGGCGGCCCCGCUGUCCCGCGGGGCGCAGGAGCGCGGUGGGGCCGCGGCUCUGCCGGGCAGGGCUCGGGGGGGCUGCCCUUGCCAGGCGGGACCGGCAGCCCGAGCACUGCCAGAACACAACAGCCUGUGUAAUUGUUGCUCUCAAGUGAGCACCGGGUGCUUCCUGGCUCUGGCUGCUCUCGCUGCUCGUGUCUGUGUUAUGCAGGCGUCUGCUCUGCCGAGCAGGGCUUUGCGAGAAGACAGAAGAGGUUUGAUUGACCCUGUUGGGAGCGUGAGCUGUGGGCUCUGUGGAUGCUUUGCUGUGACGGAGGGCCGAGGGCUGACCAAGUCGUGGGGAGGAUUUGUAUGUGGGAAGAGAGGAGAUGGCUGUGCAGCGUGCUCCCGAAUCUGCUCUGAGCUUGCUGAUGAGAUGUCAAAACAUUUCCCAAAGGCACUGAUGUCUCUUCACCGUAGGAAGACUGAGGAAAAGGAGAAGGAGAGAUGAAGGAGGUUCUUAAAGCCAGUGUGAGGAAUGAGACCUGCAUGUCCUAGUUCCCUAUGCAAGUGCCCUUUCCAGUAAAUUGUGGGGUAUGUUAUUAUCAAAUGAAAACCUCUGAGCUGAUUUUUCAGAGUUGGCAAAAAGAGGCAAUGAAUAGUCACAAUUAGAAAGCUAACUCUGACUUUUUCUAAAGAGGAAAAGUAUAGGACUGCCCAUUU
rnacentral:lncRNA from 1 species